GACGAAGGGUGCAAGCGUUGUCCGGAUUUACUGGGCGUAAAGGGUCCGUAGGCGGUCUAUCGCGUCUUGUGUGAAAGGCUCGGGCUCAACUCGAGUUGUGCGCAAGAUACGGAUAGACUUGAGGAUUUUCGGGGAUGUCGGAACUGCCGGUGUAGGGGUGAAAUCCGUUGAUAUCGGCAGGAACACCAAUGGCGAAGGCAGACAUCUAGGAAACUCCUGACGCUCAGGGACGAAAGCUAGGGGAGCGAAAGGG
rnacentral:misc_RNA from 1 species